rnacentral:rRNA from 1 species
GACGAACGCUGGCGGCGUGCUUAACACAUGCAAGUCGAACGGAAAGGCCUGCUUUCCCUUGUGGAUUGCGGGUACUCGAGUGGCGAACGGGUGAGAAACACGUGAGUGAUCUGCCCCCAACUUGGGUAUAAGCCUGGGAAACUGGGUCUAAUUCCCGAUAGGACUGCAGGGUGGUGCCUGUGGUGGAAAACGAUUUUCUAGUGGUUGGGGAUGAGCUCGCGGCCUAUCAGCUUGUUGGUGGGGUAAUGGCCUACCAAGGCGGCGACGGGUAGCCGGCCUGAGAGGGUGGACGGCCACAUUGGGACUGAGAUACGGCCCAGACUCCUACGGGAGGCAGCAGUGGGGAAUAUUGCCCAAUGGGCGGAAGCCUGAUGCAGCGACGCCGCGUGGGGGAUGACGGCCUUCGGGUUGUAAACUCCUUUCGACCGCGAGGAAGCCACCUGGUUGGAAGGGUGGUGACGGUAGUGGUAGAAGAAGCACCGGCUAACUACGUG